GUAAAUGUCUAGCCGGGAGCCCAUCUAUCUCCUGCCUCAGUUGCACUCCGGAUGUGCUGACCCCUGUGAUUUCCCCAAAUGUGCGAAACUCGACUGCAUAAUUUGUGGUAGUGGGGAACUGCGUUCAUGCUUUUCCCUG
rnacentral:snRNA from 1 species